rnacentral:rRNA from 1 species
AAUAUUGGACAAUGGGGGCAACCCUGAUCCAGCCAUGCCGCGUGUGUGGAGAAGGUCUUCGGAUUGUAAAGCACGUUAAGUUGGGAGGAAGGGCUUUAGGUUAAUACCCUGAAGUUUUGACGUUACCAAUAGAAUAAGCACCCGCUAACUCUGUGCCAGCAGCCGCGCGAAUAAAGAGGGUGCAAGCGUUAAUCGGAAUUACUGGGCGUAAAGCGAGCGUAGGUGGUUCAGUAAGAUGGGUGUGAAACCCCCGGGCUUAACCUGGGAACUGCUUUCAUAACUGCUGAGCUAGAGUACGGUAGAGGGUAGUGGAAUUUCCUGUGUAGCGGUGAAAUGCGUAGAUAUAGGAAGGAACACCAGUGGCGAAGGCGACUACCUGGACUGAUACUGACACUGAGGUGCGAAAGCGUGGGGAGCAAAC